rnacentral:lncRNA from 1 species
AUGAUGAUGGAGGAAGAGGAGGUCAGAGCAGAGUCUGCAGGGUCCAGAUGUCCGUCUGUGAGGAGUGACCGGUCCAAAGAUCCAAAUCCAGACUUCAGUGCUGAACCUGGAGCAACGAGAGGUCAGAGGUCACAGUCUGCAGGGUCCAGCUGUCCAUCCAUGAGGAGUGACAUGUCCAAAAAUAAACCUCCAGACUUCAGUGGUGAACCUGGACCAACGAGGUCAGAGAGCUGUGAUGACUCCUUUACAUGUUUGUGUUUUCCUGGAUAAAUAUGACCUGAAACAUCCUCAGAUUCGAUUCAAUCAAUCAAUCAAUCAAUCUUUAUUUAUAAAGCACUUUUCAUACAACAAAUGUAGCACAAAGUGCUUUACAUGGUUAAAAGCAGCCCACCCCACCCCAACCUCCCACUCACUCCCCACACUCUCAUUAACAUAAACGAUCAUGAAUACACCCCCCCCCCCCCCCCACACACACACACACACACAUGCAGACACGCACACUUAAAGAGUAAAAUUGGGCUGGGUACGCAUUAGCCAAGUGAGGAAACACUAUCACAGGGAGCCGUCUGCACCGGGAGCCGGUCACAGACCGCAGCCUCCAGGCUGGGCACACAGCAGGAGGGAGGCAAAGAAGCCCCCCAGCCAGGCUGAGAGGAUCCACAGAGCCCCAGCAGCCACGGUCGAUCACAGCCCCAGUGCAGAGAGCCCCCUCCGAGGAAACACUGGAGAUAUGACCUAAUAAGAAUAUAAACAGGAUAAAAAGAUAAAAUAAAUAAGAGUGGGAUAUAAUAUAAAUAUAAGUAUAAACAGAGUAAGAAGAUAAAAAAUGAAUAAGAAUACAAUCAAUAAAUAUUAGGUAAAACUAAAUUAAUAAUAUAAAUAGAAUAACAGGAUAGAAUAAAUAAGCAUAAAAUAAAUAAACGUUAGUUAAAAGCUAAAUUAAAAAGGUGGGUCUUGAGCCUGUUUUUAAAAACAUGAACGUUCUCUGCGGCCCUGAGCUCCUCCGGCAGGCUGUUCCACAGACGAGGACCAUACCACUGAAAAGCUGCCUCUCCGUGAGUAUGUGUCCUGACUUUAGGGACAAUCAAAAGGCCAGUACCAGAGGACCUCAGGGUCCGCGAGGGUUCAUAUGGUAAAAGCAGAUCUGAAAGAUAAGAAGGCCCAAGACCAUUAAGACAUUUAAAAACCAAUAAAAGAACUUUAAAAUCGAUCCUGAAACACACGGGGUGCCAAUGCAGCGAUUGUAAAACCGGUGUAAUGUGGGCCCGCCCUCUGGUCUUCGUCAGCACACGAGCUCCAGAGUUUUAUAAAAGUUGUAAGGGUGAAAUAUUCUUUUUGGGGAGACCAGAGAGCAGGGCAUUACAGUAAUCAAUGUGACUGGUAAUAAAAGCAUGCAUCAACAUCUCCGUGUUGGCCUGAGAGAGAAUAGGGCGGACUCUGGCUAUAUUUUUUAGAUGAUAAAAUCCAAUUUUGGUUACAUGUUUAAUAUGUGGGAUAAAACCAAGCUCAGAGUCGAAAAUAACACCCAGGUUUUUCACUUGUAGUGAAGGGCAUAGUGAAAAUGCCUGUAAUUUAGACAAGAGUUUCUCUCUUUGAGCCUCAGGACCGAUGAUUAAAACUUCAGUUUUGUCCUGGUUAAGCUGUAAAACGUUUUCUGCCAUCCAAGAUUUUAUAUCUAGACUACAGUUAAAAAGGGCAUCCAUUGGUCUGGUGUCAUCAGGAGACACGGAGAUGUACAGCUGAGUAUCAUCACUGUAACUGUGGAAGUUCACUUCAUGCCUCCUGAUGACAUCGCCAAGAGGGAGCAUAUACAAAUUAAAAAGUACAGGGCCUAAAACCGACCCUUGAGGCACACCACAUGUCAUUUUAUGGAUCUUAGAGGAGCAUGUAUCCAUACACACCAUAAAAGUUCUGUCUGAGAGAUAGGAAGUGAACCAGUUGUGUACAGCACCAGAGAGGCCCACCAUGUGUUUCAGUCUGUUUAAAAGUAUAGCAUGGUCUACUGUAUCAAAGGCUGCGCUUAGAUCCAGCAGCACCAGG